UUCUAGGCAAUAAAUCGUACUAAACAAUAUCAUACGAGUUAAUUUUUUUUCAAUAAUUUUUCUAGCGUGGUUGGUUUGAACGUUAUCAUAUUUGUAUUCGAUUAUCUUUUUGAAUAUGCAUAUGAAAAUUAAUCCCGUUUAGCGAUUUUGCAAUAAUAUAAUCGAAGUUGGAUUGCUAAUGGUCCAGAGUAUAAUGGUUACAAAUAUUCGAAUAAAAGUAUUUCUGUGUUAUAAUGUGACGAGUAUAGAUGGCCAAUAAUUGCGCAAGUAUAUAGUGUUAGUUUGUUUGUUGAAGACUGAUGAAAUACGUAGCUAGUAUUCAAGAUACGUACAUAAGUUACAAUAAAUAUUUCGUAAUAAUUGCGUUGGACCGGUGUUGGCUAUUUUGUAAUUGGAUUUUGGUCGUAUAUUCUUCGAUAGUUCGGAGUAUGGAAGGUUGUAUUACCAAUUAUUAUUUUUUUACUUUUGAUCAACGAUGAUACAUUGAUUAUGAUAUUUAUACCCUUACUUUAUUUUAUUUUCAUCACCAACAUUCAUUAGCGGUUUGAAAAUGUAAGUGUAAGACUCUGAUUAGUGACAAAUUCUCGCAAACGAGGCUAUAAAUAUCGUAAUAAGUACAGUUUCAUACCUCGUCCCCAAUCUCGACAAAGCAUUCAAUGGAUAAUCCUUUAGUUUACUUCACAACUAACGUCCAAAAUUCCGAGACAAUAGUAGUUACAGAAGAAGACACAUUUUUCAGUUUUCGCAUGGUUAUUUUCACGAAUUAAUAGGUUGAUUAAAUUGUGCGGCCAGACGACGUUUUCCGGAUACUGCUGAAAUCAUACAAAGUACUUGGUAACGAAUUUGUGAAGCUCGAAACUGCAACGUGCUAAGUUGAAACAAAAACAAGUCUUUACAUUGUUGUUUACCAGGGGUACUUCGUCCGGUACCAAUAGUUCCUGAGGUGUCUGCUUCACAUGUUCGAGGUCUGUGGGCUUCUGCACUUCCGUCAACAUUUUUUUGUGAGUCAGGAUUUGUAUGAAAUUCAAUGACUUCUGCUAAUGCGCUUUUUUUAGGAGUCAGAGACAAAGAGGGAAAUGGUAGUUCUGAAGGAUGCGGUGCAACAACUUGAUUAUGAUUGGAGAAAUACGGAGAAGUGCGUGGAUUCAGAGGAUUAGCUGAUGCCGGCAGAAGAUUUUUAGUUGGAGAUAACAAAUUUGAGGCGCUAUUAUCCAUCACCAUUUGAUUUAAUUGUGGCAGGGUGAUAGCGGGCACCUAUUGAAAAUUUCAACAGAUUAUAAAAUUAAGUAUUUAAUCACAAAAUAUAAUAUUGAGCCCAGAUCUACUCACAACAACAUUCGUGGUUUGUUCACCCUGAGGAUAUCUAUAAUUAAGUGGGCUCGCCCAUACAGCAGAAUUCCAAAAUCUUUGAUUACCGUAAUCUUUUCCCUAGAAUAUAAAAAAUCGAAAUCCCAUAUGUCAUCCUAUUAAUAGUCACA
rnacentral:misc_RNA from 1 species